ACCCGCCAGCCCCGCGCUCUACCAGGCAGAGCGCGUGUGGCCGCCGAGCACAUGGACCCACUGGUCAAGCGGGCUCGGCAAGGCCAGGAUGAAGAGAAGCUACGAACUUAGCAUUCCCAGAGCCCCCCGAGUGGAUAUCCGCGUGGAAAGGAUGUUGGCAGCCCCGGUGACCUCGGAGUCACGGCUGGAUCCACCCUCUUAGAGCCGAGUUCUGUCACCACAGACAUUGGCAGUGGCACUUGCAUGCCCCUGGCAAGCAGUCUAUCCUGAGGUGGAGGAAGUUGCCCUUGAGUUCUGGCUGGUAACCAGCACAGUAUACCCUUUAAGCGUUCCAGAAGGAUUUUGAGAUCCUUUCCUAAAUCAAAGGUGGAAUAUUUGGGGAUUUGGAAAAUUGAGCAUUUUUUUCCCCACUUGCUUGACUGUAAUGCUAACAUGCUCUCUCUGCUCCAACCUGGAGAAGCCAGUCUCUCAGAAGAACCAGUUGUGUUACUUUGCUGUGAGAUGCCUGCCCUAAGAGAGGAGCAGAAGGUCGGAACGGGUCCUCUAAUGUGAUAAUUAGAUGUGAAGCGUUGACUUAAGAGAUGCCAAGUAACUCAGCAGAUGUCACACAGACGAUAAAUAGCAAAGAUGGAAGUCUUCAUGCCGGAGGCAAUCCUAUAAGACAGCUGAGUUCUGCAGAGCUGGUAGGAGACAGACUUGCUCAGGUGAUAGAUCCAGCCAUGAUACUGACCCUAAGAGAAUGAGACGCUCUGCAGAAGACAGAAGAUUCCUGAAACUGGGAAAGGUGCCUAGAAAUCCUGAUAAGAGUGAAGAAGGAGCUGGCAGAGCAGCCUUCCUCCGCACUAUGAAAGACAUCCAACAGAGAGCAAGUUCCCACCUCACUUCCAGCUUGACUCCUUUUUAUCUCCUAACUGUGGUCUGUGAUGUCUUCAGCAAUGGGUACCUGGAGGCACAGCAGCCAUGUUGAACCUAUGAGGUGAUGAAAAACCAUGCAACUAGAAACCAGAAUGGAAGAAAAGAAGAAGCUGGAUCCUUGACUGAAUUGUCGAUGGGGGAUAGUCCAUCAUCCCAGGGCUAAGACCACCUCCAGAUUUCUUGUUUGGUGAAACAAGUCCUGAUUGUUUACAUUCCCUCGUGUUGAGCUGUCUCUUGCUUGUAGCUGAAAGCAUUUCUAAUAGAUAUUCAGAUUAUCAGCCUUAGCUCCAAGCUAGAAUACUCUAUGGGACCUUAGCUUCUCCAUGAAUUCCUUUGCUCAUCUGUGUAAUGCUCAAUAAAUGUAAAUUGAACCCUGAAUGAGGGACAAUGACA
rnacentral:lncRNA from 1 species